rnacentral:rRNA from 1 species
CAAACAUAAAAGGUGGCUUCGGCUACCACUUACAGAUGGACCCGCGGCGCAUUAGCUAGUUGGUGAGGUAACGGCUCACCAAGGCAACGAUGCGUAGCCGACCUGAGAGGGUGAUCGGCCACACUGGGACUGAGACACGGCCCAGACUCCUACGGGAGGCAGCAGUAGGGAAUCUUCCGCAAUGGACGAAAGUCUGACGGAGCAACGCCGCGUGAGUGAUGAAGGUUUUCGGAUCGUAAAGCUCUGUUGUUAGGGAAGAACAAGUACCGUUCGAAUAGGGCGGUACCUUGACGGUACCUAACCAGAAAGCCACGGCUAACUACGUGCCAGCAGCCGCGGUAAUACGUAGGUGGCAAGCGUUGUCCGGAAUUAUUGGGCGUAAAGGGCUCGCAGGCGGUUUCUUAAGUCUGAUGUGAAAGCCCCCGGCUCAACCGGGGAGGGUCAUUGGAAACUGGGGAACUUGAGUGCAGAAGAGGAGAGUGGAAUUCCACGUGUAGCGGUGAAAUGCGUAGAGAUGUGGAGGAACACCAGUGGCGAAGGCGACUCUCUGGUCUGUAACUGACGCUGAGGAGCGAAAGCGUGGGGAGCGAACAGGAUUAGAUACCCUGGUAGUCCACGCCGUAAACGAUGAGUGCUAAGUGUUAGGGGGUUUCCGCCCCUUAGUGCUGCA